rnacentral:rRNA from 1 species
GAAAUUUCAUUCGCACUAGCGAUAGCUAGUUUUUCUGGAAAGAUAUAAAAGUGUCGAUAAGAAAACAAUUAUAAAAUAUUAAGCAUUUUAUAAAUUAUUUCUGAAUUAAUUUUUUUGAGGAUAAGCUCGAAAAAAAGUUAAGAUAUUUUUUGAUUUAAAUUGUUAUGUGGGCUUAAGGUUGGCCAUCAUAAGAGUUUGUUAUAAAACAACAAUUUUAAUAUUUAAAAUAAAUAUAAUUUAUUCUAAUUUUUAACAGAAAUAAAAGCUUUAAUUAACAAAUGCUUUGUACCUAUGCUAGGAUGAGUAUUAAAACUUUAUAUAUUUUAAGAAAGUUUCUUUACUAUUCUUCUAAAAAAAUAUUAUUUAAAUUAAAUUAGUUAGAAGGAACUCGGCAAAUUUAGUUGCUUCGCCUGUUUAUCAAAAACAUGGCUCUUUGUUUUUAUUAUAUAGAGAGUCAGGCCUGCCCAGUGAAUAAUUUUUAACGGCCGCGGUACUCUGACCGUGCAAAGGUAGCAUAAUCAUUU